CCAGUAGACUGAGUCGUGCAUCAGAAGCUGCAGGUUAGUGGCGUUGUCCUGUUAGUUUGAUUCCAACUUUGCUACAUAAGCAGAGGUGUGCCGCAUCUCUGGCACAGUUUUGUGUGUUACACGGAGCCUGUGAGGUGAACCUGUUUCCUGUAAUUGACGAGACUGAAACACUACACCGUCAUCAUGCGUAUGUUCGUCUUGUUGCUGGCAGUUCUCAGCGUCGCCGUUGCCGCAUGUGUGGCGCUGCCUUACGUUGAAAGAGACGAGGAAACUGAAUUAUCUCAAGCCAUCCUGGAGAGAGUCCAGCGUUCUCCUCUGCCAGAGGAGAGGAAGAGUAGCUCUUCGGGAGAUGGCACCAGAGCUCGUAGCCAGACUGGAGCCAGUCGUGCGACAAAUGUUCGGGGCAACGCGACCCAAGCGGGGGGCGGACCACAGAGUGAGACACGAGAGCGCCAGGGUGGCGUCGCUUGGGACAUCAAAUGGUGAAGCAGCCUCACACAGCCCCUGCAGAAAGGCGUUUCUUGUUAAGCUGACAUUGUCAUAUCUGGUCAAAAAAUAUUGUGCUUUACACACCCAGAAGAUUCUGUCAUUUUAAUUGGAGGCUAUUCUUACCGAUGAAUGUUUUUCAUUAAACUAACAAAGACGACACAAGACACACUCAGAAAGUCCCAGAAGAUAUUAAUUGCUUGUAGUGCUGUGUUGUACUGCCUUCCGCAUAACGCUACACACACUUAUUGGCUUGUUAUUUACGCUGGUUUUAAGGCAAGUGUAUUUUGUGAUUGAGUCUACUGUAAAGGAGUCUUAUUCAGUUCAUGUGACUCUGUGUGUUACAUUUGAGGGCCCCUGAUGAUGACCAUAUACCAUAUACCAUAUAACCGAAACAUGUCUGUUUCCAAGAUCAUUCACUAAUUAAACCAGGAUAAAUUGAU